GUCGCACCAAGUUACUAUGAAAGAGUAACUAUUUCCGACAAAAGGGUUGAGGAAACACGAGUUGAAAAAUCCAUUAUGGAAAAUAAUUCUUGCCGAAGGAAGGAGUGAAAAACUCAACCAUGAAAUGGCUGGUUUGAAGUGGAGUUCUCUAGGAAAAAAUCAGAUUGGCAGACAACAACGAGAUUCUAUAUAUUCUCCACUUGCCGUCAAUGAUAUUCACACUUUUCUUGCAAAAACCCAGCAGUAAAUGAAUGUGCAAACAACCACAAGAAAAAGCCACCAUUUUCUUCAGUUAGUGGCAGACAAGGAAACAAAGGAAGAGAAAAUAUUUUAUUUGAUUUAAUACAAAUGAAAG
rnacentral:lncRNA from 1 species